CUUGGCGUGUGUGCACGUGUGUGAGCAGUAGCAGCAAUGAAUUUGGGCGUCAAGCAAGAGUCGUUCCGCAUAGAGACGAUGAUGAGCUCCUUGCGGGAGGAGUGCUUUAAUUUGUGCUGCAAGGACCUGUACAAGGAUGCAGAGCUCACCAAGGACGAGGUGCACUGCAUUGAUCGCUGUUCGUGGCGGUACCUGCACACCAACAAGAUCAUCUCCAACUCGCUGGAUCGCAAGACUCAAGGCGGGGGCAAGAAACUGAUGUAACUGCGUGGGCGUGGAGCUCCAUCGUGGGCACUGGUUUUGUCUUGCUGUUCCGCCGCUGGCAAUGAACGCCGUCUUGCAAAGGUGCACCACGGAGCACGAUGAUCGGAAGAGUGCAAACCGUCCUGCCGACGCGCACGUACGACGCUGCCGCCGCCUCCUUUCCGGCUUUGUGUCUCUCCUCAGGGGCAAAUGGAAAGCUAGGGCAGGGGAGGGGGUAUGUGGCGCUGUUAUCUGGCUUUGCUGUUUUGGUCGCCUCUGCUCCGCCGGUGCCCCCCCCCUCGCCCCCACGCACAGCCUCUCUCCGAACACUUGCUCUGUCCUUGUGUUGUUGGCGGGCAUCGCACCGUGUCCUCGGCGCACGCGUGCCUCUGUCUGUGCCGUCGUUGUUGGGUGCCCGCCUUUUCGUCCUCUCCCUUUUCCUCUCUCUCCCGCCUCACUACCACCGCAACCACUACACUACUCUCCCCCCAUCCGUCGUUUUCGCCUCCGUCUCGUCCCUAGUUUCUGCUCCCGCUCUCCUCACCCUAGCUUUCCGUCGGUAUCCGAUGAUGAAGACGGAGGUGGGCGAGAGGAGACACGCGCUAAGGUGGUGGUGGGGUCGUGGAUGGGCGUCAUCACACGCGCGCUGGAUAAAUAAAAAACGAAGAGCAGCACAG
rnacentral:misc_RNA from 1 species